UAAACGACUCUCGGCAACGGAUAUCUCGGCUCUCGCAUCGAUGAAGAACGUAGCGAAAUGCGAUACUUGGUGUGAAUUGCAGAAUCCCGUGAACCAUCGAGUCUUUGAACGCAAGUUGCGCCCGAAGCCUUGGCCGAGGGCACGCCUGCCUGGGUGUCACACA
rnacentral:rRNA from 1 species